rnacentral:rRNA from 1 species
UACAGAGACUGCAAGCGUUAUUCGGAUUCACUGGGCGUAAAGGGCGCGCAGGCGGCCGUGUGUGUGAGGCGUGAAAGCCCGACGCUUAACGUCGGAAUUGCACCUCAAACUACACGGCUAGAGCAUUGGAGAGGGAAGCGGAAUUCACGGUGUAGCAGUGAAAUGCGUAGAUAUCGUGAGGAACACCAGAGGCGAAGGCGGCUUCCUGGACAAUUGCUGACGCUCAGGCACGAAAGCGUGGGGAGCAAAAGGG